rnacentral:ncRNA from 1 species
UGAUAAUAAAAAGCGCCAGAACUUUAUAAAAAAGUUGACGAGGACUGGAGAUAAUCGAAAUUUCGGCGGAUACUCCAGAGGGAGUUACACCCUAAAUAAACUUACAAAACUAAAAAGUAAUUUUUAGGACAAAAAAGUUUUAGUAACAAUCC